rnacentral:rRNA from 1 species
GUGGGGAAUAUUGGACAAUGGGCGCAAGCCUGAUCCAGCCAUGCCGCGUGAGUGACGAAGGUCUUCGGAUUGUAAAGCUCUUUUGGCGGGGACGAUAAUGACGGUACCCGCAGAAUAAGCCCCGGCUAACUUCGUGCCAGCAGCCGCGGUAAUACGAAGGGGGCUAGCGUUGUUCGGAAUCACUGGGCGUAAAGCGCACGUAGGCGGAUGUGUCAGUCAGGGGUGAAAUCCCGGAGCUCAACUUCGGAACUGCCUCUGAUACAGCACGUCUUGAGUUCGAGAGAGGUGGGUGGAAUUCCUAGUGUAGAGGUGAAAUUCGUAGAUAUUAGGAAGAACACCGGUGGCGAAGGCGGCCCACUGGCUCGAUACUGACGCUGAGGUGCGAAAGCGUGGGGAGCAAACAGGAUUAGAUACCCUUGUAGUCC